GGCCCUGUAGUCUAGUGGCAAAACGGCUCGUUUACACCGAGCAGUCAGGAGUUCGAUUCUCUUCAGGGCCA
rnacentral:tRNA from 1 species